AAGUCGUAACAAGGUUUCCGUAGGUGAACCUGCGGAAGGAUCAUCAACAAUGAUUUAUUCUGUAUUGUGAAUUGUAAGCGCAACUUGGUGGGAAGAGUAUGAGAGUACUCAACUCACCAACACUAUCAUACACACUCACACACUGUACUAACAUACACAAACUAAUACAACUUUCAACAAUGGAUCUCUAGGCUCUC
rnacentral:misc_RNA from 1 species